rnacentral:snRNA from 1 species
GAGAAUUCUGAAAACAAAAAUGA